rnacentral:rRNA from 1 species
UACGGAGGGUGCGAGCGUUAAUCGGAAUUACUGGGCGUAAAGCGCACGUAGGCGGUCAGGCAAGUCGGGUGUGAAAGCCCUGGGCUCAACCUGGGAAUUGCAUUCGAAACUAUCUGACUCGAGUAUGGGAGAGGGAAGCGGAAUUUCCGGUGUAGCGGUGAAAUGCGUAGAUAUCGGAAGGAACACCAGUGGCGAAGGCGGCUAUCUGGACGGUUUCUGACGCUAAGACGCGAAAGCGUGGGGAGCAAACAGG